rnacentral:rRNA from 1 species
CCUACGGGAGGCAGCAGUCGGGAAUUUUGGGCAAUGGGCGCAAGCCUGACCCAGCAACGCCGCGUGAAGGAUGAAAUCCCUCGGGAUGUAAACUUCGCAGAGAAGAGGACGGUACCGUUUGUAAGCUCCGGCUAACUCCGUGCCAGCAGCCGCGGUAAUACGGGGGGAGCAAGCGUUGUUCGGAUUUACUGGGCGUAAAGGGCGCGUAGGCGGUAGUGCAAGUCAGUUGUGAAAUCUCCGGGCUUAACUCGGAAAGGUCAACUGAUACUGCUCGACUAGAGUGCGGAAGGGGCAACUGGAAUUCUUGGUGUAGCGGUGAAAUGCGUAGAUAUCAAGAGGAACACCUGCGGCGAAGGCGGGUUGCUGGGCCGAACUGACGCUGAUGCGCGAAAGCUAGGGGAGCGAACGGGAUUAGAUACCCUUGUAGUC